GACGAACGCUGGCGGCGUGCCUAACACAUGCAAGUCGAACGGAACUCAUUGGAAUGAGACUUCGGUCGAAUGAUAGUGAGUUUAGUGGCGGACGGGUGAGUAACGCGUGAGCAACCUGCCUUUCAGAGGGGGACAACAGUUGGAAACGACUGCUAAUACCGCAUGAUGUAUUUCGAGGGCAUCCUUGAAAUACCAAAGAUUUUAUCGCUGAAAGAUGGGCUCGGGUCUGAUUAGUUAGUUGGUGGGGUAAUGGCCUACCAAGACUACGAUCAGUAGCCGGACUGAGAGGUUGAACGGCCACAUUGGGACUGAGAUACGGCCCAGACUCCUACGGGAGGCAGCAGUGGGGAAUAUUGGGCAAUGGGGGCAACCCUGACCCAGCAACGCCGCGUGAAGGAAGAAGGCUUUCGGGUUGUAAACUUCUUUGACGAGGGACGAAUAAAUGACGGUACCUCGAAAACAAGCCACGGCUAACUACGUGCCAGCCGCCGCGGUAAAAC
rnacentral:rRNA from 1 species